rnacentral:rRNA from 1 species
GAGCGUUAUUCGGAAUUAUUGGGCGUAAAGGGCGCGUAGGCGGCUGUACAAGUCAAAGGUGAAAUCCCUCGGCUCAACUGAGGAACUGCCUUUGAAACUGUACGGCUUGAGGCCGGGAGGGGGUAGCGGAAUUCCCAGUGUAGCGGUGAAAUGCGUAGAUACUGGGAGGAACACCAGUGGCGAAGGCGGCUACCUGGACCGGUUCUGACGCUGAGGCGCGAAAGCGUGGGUAGCAAACAGG